rnacentral:rRNA from 1 species
GAUGAACGCUAGCGGCAGGCCUAAUACAUGCAAGUCGAACGGGUGGUCGCAAGACCCCUAGUGGCGCACGGGUGCGUAACGCGUAACCAACCUGCCCCGAUCUGGGGGAUAGCCCGCCGAAAGGCGGAUUAAUACCGCAUAUACCCGCAGCCUGGCAUCAGGCAACGGGGAAAGAUUUAUUGGAUCGGGAUGGGGUUGCGUGACAUUAGCUAGUUGGCGGGGUAAGGGCCCACCAAGGCGACGAUGUCUAGGGGACCUGAGAGGGUGAUCCCCCACACUGGCACUGAGAUACGGGCCAGACUCCUACGGGAGGCAGCAGUAGGGAAUAGUGGGCAAUGGGCGAGAGCCUGACCCAGCCAUGCCGCGUGCCGGAUGAAGGCCUUCUGGGUUGUAAACGGCUUUUCUCAGGGAAGAAAAAGACCUUGCGAGGUACACUGACGGUACCUGAGGAAUAAGCACCGGCUAACUCCGUG